GACGAACCGUGCGAACGUUAUUCGGAAUCACUGGGCUUAAAGCGCGUGUAGGCGGGACGGCACGUCGGUCGCUGAAAUCCCCCGGCUCAACCGGGGAACGGGCGCCGAUACGACCGGCCUGGAGGGACGUAGGGGGACCUGGAACUUCCGGUGGAGCGGUGAAAUGCGUUGAGAUCGGAAGGAACGCCCGUGGCGAAAGCGAGGUCCUGGACGUUUUCUGACGCUGAGACGCGAAAGCCAGGGUAGCG
rnacentral:rRNA from 1 species